AAGAAAGCGUCAAAGCUCGCUCAAACACACACCCUUUAAUUUAAAUAACCUCUCUAAACCCUCUCAUCUUACUGAGCUAUUCUAUAAACAUAGAAGAACUUAUGCUAGAACUAGUAAUGUGAAUUCCACUAUUCUCCUAAAUACAAGUGUAAAUCAGAUCGAAUAAAUCACUGAUAUUUAACGUCCUCCCUGAGACAACUGCAUCAACAACACAAGAAAACCGUGCAAAAAAUAACGUUAAUCUAACACAAGGGUAUUUCUGGAAAGAUAAAAAGACGCAGAAGGAACUCGGCAAAUCUGAACCCCGCCUGUUUACCAAAAACAUCGCCUCUUGCCAACUUACAUGUAUAAGAGGUCCAGCCUGCCCAGUGACUAUAUGUUCAACGGCCGCGGUAUUCUGACCGUGCAAAGGUAGCGUAAUCACUUGUCUUUUAAAUAAAGACUGGUAUGAACGGCACCACGAAGGUUCAACUGUCUCCUGCAUCCUAUCCAUAAAACUGACCUCCCCGUGCAGAGGCGGGGAUAUAACCAUAAGACGAGAAGACCCUAUGGAGCUUCAAACUAAGGGCAACUGCCAAUAAUCUAUAAAACCAUUAGGAACUAAUCAGUAAACAAGCAGAUAAAUGACCUAAAGUUUUCGGUUGGGGCGACCAUGGAGAAAAAAAAAUCCUCCUUGAAGAACAGGACAUUCAAUCCUUAACCAAGAAUAACAAUUCUAAGUAACAAAAUCUUUAGACUAUAAUUGAUCCAGUCUAACUGAUCAACGAACCAAGUUACCCUAGGGAUAACAGCGCAAUCCAUUUCAAAAGUUCUUAUCGACAAAUGGGUUUACGACCUCGAUGUUGGAUCAGGGCAU
rnacentral:rRNA from 1 species